ACUAAUUUGGCAGAUUAAUUGUAUCAAAUUUAGAAUUUGAGGAUAGAGUUUCUCUAAUUAGUA
rnacentral:tRNA from 1 species